UUGAUUUAUUUAUUGAUUGAUGAUGUUUCUUGUCCUGUGUGUCUAAGUGCCCCAGGUCUGAUGUUACACUAUUGAGAUGUUCCCUAGAUGUGUGUCUAAGUGCCCCAGGUCUGAUGUUACACUAUUGAGAUGCUCCCUAGAUGUGUGUCUAAGUGCCAGGUCCAGGUCUGAUGUUACACUAUUGAGAUGCUCCCUAGAUGUGUGUCUAAGUGCCAGGUCCAGGUCUGAUGUUACACUAUUGAGAUGCUCCCUAGAUGUGUGUCUAAGUGCCAGGUCCAGGUCUGAUGUUAUACUAUUGAGAUGCUCCCUAGAUGUGUGUCUAAGUGCCAGGUCCAGGUCUGAUGUUAUACUAUUGAGAUGCUCCCUAGAUGUGUGUCUAAGUGCCAGGUCCAGGUCUGAUGUUAUACUAUUGAGAUGCUCCCUAGAUGUGUGUCUAAGUGCCCCAGGUCUGAUGUUACACUAUUGAGAUGCCCCCUAGAUGUGUGUCUAAGUGCCCCAGGUCUGAUGUUACACUAUUGAGAUGCUCCCUAGAUGUGUGUCUAAGUGCCCCAGGUCUGAUGUUACACUAUUGAGAUGCUCCCUAGAUGUGUGUCUAAGUGCCCCAGGUCUGAUGUUACACUAUUGAGAUGCUCCCUAGAUGUGUGUCUAAGUGCCCCAGGUCUGAUGUUACACUAUUGAGAUGCUCCCUAGAUGUGUGUCUAAGUGCCCCAGGUCUGAUGUUACACUAUUGAGAUGCUCCCUAGAUGUGUGUCUAAGUGCCCCAGGUCUGAUGUUACACUAUUGAGAUGCUCCCUAGAUGUGUGUCUAAGUGCCCCAGGUCUGAUGUUACACUAUUGAGAUGCCCCCUAGAUGUGUGUCUAAGUGCCCCAGGUCUGAUGUUAUACUAUUGAGAUGCUCCCUAGAUGUGUGUCUAAGUGCCCCAGGUCUGAUGUUACACUAUUGAGAUGCCCCCUAGAUGUGUGUCUAAGUGCCCCAGGUCUGAUGUUACACUAUUGAGAUGCUCCCUAGAUGUGUGUCUAAGUGCCUCAGGUCUGAUGUUACACUAUUGAGAUGCUCCCUAGAUGUGUGUCUAAGUGCCGGGUCCAGGCCUGAUGUUAUACUAUUGAGAUGCUCCCAAGAUGUGUGUCUAAGUGCCAGGUCCAGGCCUGAUGUUACACUAUUGAGAUGCUCCCUAGAUGUGUGUCUAAGUGCCGGGUCCAGGUCUGAUGUUACACUAUUGAGAUGCUCCCUAGAUGUGUGUCUAAGUGCCCCAGGUCUGAUGUUACACUAUUGAGAUGCUCCCUAGAUGUGUGUCUAAGUGCCAGGUCCAGGCCUGAUGUUACACUAUUGAGAUGCUCCCUAGAUGUGUGUCUAAGUGCCGGGUCCAGGUCUGAUGUUACACUAUUGAGAUGCUCCCUAGAUGUGUGUCUAAGUGCCGGGUCCAGGCCUGAUGUUACACUAUUGAGAUGCCCCCUAGAUUAUUUUUAUGUUGUGUAAAAAUUCAAUAAAUAUCCCAAAAAAGAAAUUCACCCCUGGAUAUGUGUUCGGUGUCUGGCCUGGUUCUGAUGUGCUCCAGCCCUCCUUGCUGUGUGUAUGUCCCUGUCAGAAGCAGGAAGGGAGGACGUCUAUGUCACAGAGACAGAUUUACAACAGUGUUCUAAUUCUAUUCCUAUGGCCUGUGUCCUCUGUGUUUAGUCUAUAACCUGGGAGACUGGCACUGGCCUGUCUCAGAACCUUCCCUACCUGUCUGGAGAGAAUCACAUUCAUUCCCUACAGGAAAACCCAACUCUGUUCAACCAUACAGGCCAUCUACAACGCAGUGAAUGUUUACAGUACGACGCCAGACAUUUUCUGUUGAUGUCUGUCUGGACAUCUCAGCACAGAGAGAAUGAUGUUGAUGUCUGUCUGGACAUCUCAGCUCAGAGAGAAUGAUGUUGAUGUCUGUCUGGACAUCUCAGCUCAGAGAGAAUGAUGUUGAUGUCUGUCUGGACAUCUCAGCUCAGAGAGAAUGAUGUUGAUGUCUGUCUGGACAUCUCAGCUCAGAGAGAAUGAUGUUGAUGUCUGUCUGGACAUCUCAGCUCAGAGAGAAUGAUGUUGAUGUCUGUCUGGACAUCUCAGCUCAGAGAGAAUUAUGUUGAUGUCUGUCUGGACAUCUCAGCUCAGAGAGAAUGAUGUUGAUGUCUGUCUGGACAUCUCAGCUCAGAGAGAAUGAUGUUGAUGUCUGUCUGGACAUCUCAGCUCAGAGAGAAUGAUAUUGAUGUCUGUCUGGACAUCUCAGCUCAGAGAGAAUGAUGUUGAUGUCUGUCUGGACAUCUCAGCUCAGAGAGAAUGAUGUUGAUGUCUGUCUGGACAUCUCAGCUCAGAGAGAAUGAUGUUGAUGUCUGUCUGGACAUCUCAGCUCAGAGAGAAUGAUGUUGAUGUCUGUCUGGACAUCUCAGCUC